rnacentral:rRNA from 1 species
GACCUCGGAUCAGGUAGGGAUACCCGCUGAACUUAAGCAUAUCAAUAAGCGGAGGC